rnacentral:rRNA from 1 species
CCUACGGGUGGCAGCAGUGAGGAAUAUUGGUCAAUGGGCGGGAGCCUGAACCAGCCAAGUCGCGUGAGGGAAGACGGUCCUAUGGAUUGUAAACCUCUUUAGGCGGGGAGCAAUGCCGGGCACGCGUGCCCGGAGGGAGAGUACCCGCAGAAUAAGCAUCGGCUAACUCCGUGCCAGCCGCCGCGGUAAUACGGAGGAUGCGAGCGUUAUCCGGAUUUAUUGGGGUUAAAGGGUGCGUAGGCGGAUUUUUAAGUCAGCGGUAAAAUGUCCGGGCUCAACCCGGGCCGGCCGUUGAAACUGGGGAUCUUGAGUGGGCGAGAAGUAUGCGGAAUGCGUGGUGUAGCGGUGAAAUGCAUAGAUAUCACGCAGAACUCCGAGUGCGAAGGCAGCAUACCGGCGCCCGACUGACGCUGAGGCACGAAAGCGUGGGGAUCGAACAGGAUGAGAUACCCGAGUAGUC